rnacentral:rRNA from 1 species
CUGGCGGCGUGCUUACACAUGCAAGUCGAACGGAAAGGCCCUGCUUGCAGGGUACUCGAGUGGCGAACGGGUGAGUAACACGUGGGUGAUCUGCCCUGCACUUCGGGAUAAGUUUGGGAAACUGGGUCUAAUACCGGAUAGGAACCAUCUUUAGUGUGGUGGUUGGAAAGUUUUUUCGGUGUAGGAUGAGCUCGCGGCCUAUCAGCUUGUUGGUGGGGUAAUGGCCUACCAAGGCGGCGACGGGUAGCCGGCCUGAGAGGGUGUACGGCCACAUUGGGACUGAGAUACGGCCCAGACUCCUACGGGAGGCAGCAGUGGGGAAUAUUGCACAAUGGGCGCAAGCCUGAUGCAGCGACGCCGCGUGGGGGAUGAAGGCCUUCGGGUUGUAAACUCCUUUCGCUAGGGACGAAGCUUUUUGGUGACGGCACCUAGAUAAGAAGCACCGGCUAACUACGUGCCAGCAGCCGCGGUAAUACGUAGGGUGCGAGCGUUGUCCGGAAUUACUGGGCGUAAAGGGCUCGUAGGUGGUUUGUCGCGUCGUCUGUGAAAUUCUGGGGCUUAACUCCGGGCGUGCAGGCGAUACGGGCAUAACUUGAGUGCUGUAGGGGUAACUGGAAUUCCUGGUGUAGCGGUGAAAUGCGCAGAUAUCAGGAGGAACACCGAUGGCGAAGGCAGGUUACUGGGCAGUUACUGACGCUGAGGAGCGAAAGCAUGGGUAGCGAACAGGAUUA